CUCAGUGUACCUGUCCCCACGAAUCCCCUUUUGCAGGAGAGCAAUGCCCCGGAGGUCAUAAAGUCGGUGAGCUGUAGCAGUUAGAGCUGAGCUCGGUUCGUCUAACCCUAUUCAAAGAUACAGACACAGGAGUUGCUAACAGUGAUCCUGUGCGCAUUUCCAGACCCCACAGUCCCGAGAGGNNNNNNNNNNNNNNNNNNNNNNNNNNNNNCCGCGCUGCUGCUGCUUACCUUCCAGGUUCGGGCUCCCCUGGUGGGUGCGCGUCGUUGGUUGGCUGUUUUAACGUGAGGCUGCACAGCUUUUCUAAUGCUGGCCGGCCGUCUGGAAAUGAAUUCUUCCUCCUGAGACAAUCCUGCUGGGGUCGUUGCCCGUUGCUGCUGGGGGAGUGUGUCCCAUGUCCCGGAUACUUUCAUCUUGCUUCCUAUACGUGUCAAUGGAGCAUAUCUGUGCGCUGCGUGCCUUUUUUUUUUUUAAGUUUUAUUAAUUGAUUUGAGAGAGAGAGAGGGAGCGCACUCACAAGCAGGGGGAACGGCAGAGGCAGAGGGAGAAGCAGACUCACCCCUGAGCAGGGAGCCUGACAUGGGGCUCGGUCCCAGGACCCUGGGAUCACGACGCGAGCCGAAGGAAGACGCUUCCCUGCCUGAGCCCCCCAGGUGCCCUAUGUGCUGUGUUUCUUUUGAACUCUUCCAAGGUGUCUCGUAGGAUUGGCAUUUCAGAUCCAAGAUGGUCAAAUCACUAACAUCAUUUUACGUACGACCUGGCUGUUUCCUGCUACUGAGGAGGGCUGUCCCGGCUUUAAGGGCAGGAAGAUGUUCUCCCCGCUUGUCAGCCGGUAACUGGCACAUUUAGGGGCCGGUGCGUGUAGUUUGAACACAGAACUUCCAGAUGCCUCUGGAGGUGGGUCUUAAACAUGUCAUCUCCCUUUUUUGGUUUUUGGCCUCUUCAGAUUUCUCUUUCUUCCUGGGCCCAUUUUGCUAAUAAAUGUUUUCCUAGAAAAGUGUCCA
rnacentral:lncRNA from 1 species